rnacentral:rRNA from 1 species
GACGAACGCUGGCGGCGUGCCUAAUACAUGCAAGUCAAGCGGAUUGAUGGGAGCUUGCUCCCUGAUAUCAGCGGCGGACGGGUGAGUAACACGUGGGCAACCUGCCUAUAAGACUGGGAUAACUUCGGGAAACCGGAGCUAAUACCGGAUAAUCCCUUUUCUCUCAUGAGGAAAGGCUGAAAGAUGGUUUACGCUAUCACUUAUAGAUGGGCCCGCGGCGCAUUAGGUAGUUGGUGAGGUAACGGCUCACCAAGGCAACGAUGCUUAGCCGACCUAAGAGUGAGAUCGGCCACACGGGGAAUGAGAACCGGCGCAGACGCCUGCGGGAGGAAGCAGUAGGGAAUCUUCCGCAAUGGGCGAAAGUCUGACGGAGCAACGCCGCGUGAGUGAUGAAGGUUUUCGGAUCGUAAAACUCUGUUGUUAGGGAAGAACAAGUACGAGAGUAACUGCUCGUACCUUGACGGUACCUAACCAGAAAGCCACGGCUAACUACGUGCCAGCCGCCGCCGUAA